rnacentral:rRNA from 1 species
GACGAACGCUGGCGGCGUGCUUAACACAUGCAAGUCGAACGAUGAAGCCCUUCGGGGUGAAUUAGUGGCGAACGGGUGAGUAACACGUGGGCAAUCUGCCCUUCACUCUGGGACAAGCCCUGGAAACGGGGUCUAAUACCGGAUAUCACUCUCGCAGGCAUCUGUGAGGGUCGAAAGCUCCGGCGGUGAAGGAUGAGCCCGCGGCCUAUCAGCUUGUUGGUGAGGUAACGGCUCACCAAGGCGACGACGGGUAGCCGGCCUGAGAGGGCGACCGGCCACACUGGGACUGAGACACGGCCCAGACUCCUACGGGAGGCAGCAGUGGGGAAUAUUGCACAAUGGGCGAAAGCCUGAUGCAGCGACGCCGCGUGAGGGAUGACGGCCUUCGGGUUGUAAACCUCUUUCAGCAGGGAAGAAGCGAAAGUGACGGUACCUGCAGAAGAAGCGCCGGCUAACUACGUGCCAGCCGCCGCAGUAAGAC